UACGUAGGGGGCAAGCGUUGUCCGGAAUCAUUGGGCGUAAAGAGCGUGUAGGCGGCCGCACAGGUCCGUUGUGAAAACUGGAGGCUUAACCUCCAGACGUCGACGGAAACCGUGUGGCUAGAGUCCGGAAGAGGAGAGUGGAAUUCCUGGUGUAGCGGUGAAAUGCGCAGAUAUCAGGAAGAACACCAAUGGCGAAGGCAGCUCUCUGGGACGGUACUGACGCUGAGACGCGGAAGCAUGGGGAGCGAACAGG
rnacentral:rRNA from 1 species